UGUUAAAAAAUUUAUCCAUUUAUACUGUUAAAAACUAGUGUAGUUGACGAAAUAACCAAACAGUGACACAUGAUUUGUCAUGUGUAUCUCAUGCUCAAACCAGUUUUUGACAGUAAAAAUAAAUGAAUUUUUUAACA
rfam:Gossypium arboreum cultivar AKA8401 contig_2658_3, whole genome shotgun sequence.